GGUGGAGAUCUGCAGGAUGCCUUCUCCUCCGGCGAGAGACGGCUGCAGAGGAACGCAAAGGAGAAAAUGAGUAGCUCUCCAGACUGCAGGCUGGUAUGGCGGAAUCUCUUCCACAUUGCUAACAGACCACAAAUUCCAGGUGUUCGUGACUAUAAAUACAGAAAGCAAACGAACUGGGAUGCGCUGUGACCCGAUUGGCGUACCAGGCUGCUGGAGUUCGUGGAGAUGCUUGCAGUGACAUUCAG